rnacentral:tRNA from 2 species
AAAAUCCGUCGAAUUUAGAAAUCGUGAGGGUUCAAGUCCCUCUAUCCC